rnacentral:lncRNA from 1 species
CUCUGUGCUCCACCAGAGCCCAGCUGUACCUUGGUUUCCACAGUUUCCACAUCAGCUCGUAGCAAUCUUCAAACCCUGCCAGGGAGACACCACCGUGCCUGGCUGGAGCCCCCUGGCUUGCAACAUCCCCUGGAAUCUGCAGAGAGGAAAGUCGUCCCUAGAGACGAGCGAUGUGCUGGCAAAUCUUCAAUUCCUGGCAUUCUGGCGGAAAGGAGGAAGGAAGUCCUGACUUGUAGCAGUUGCCAAUUUCUGUGGCACAAAUUGUGCUACCACCUCUGAUCUCCAGCUGCCAACGUGACAUCGCUGGCUUUGGAAACGGGAAGAGACGCCAGCAGCACCCCAUUCUACAGUCCUUC